UACGUAGGGGGCCAGCGUUGUUCGGAUUCACUGGGCGUAAAGGGUGCGUAGGCGGUAAGGUAAGUCUGUUGUGAAAUCUCCGAGCUUAACUCGGAAACUGCAAUGGAAACUAUCUGACUAGAGGAAUGGAGGGGAGACUGGAAUACUUGGUGUAGCAGUGAAAUGCGUAGAUAUCAAGUGGAACACCAGUGGCGAAGGCGAGUCUCUGGACAUUUCCUGACGCUGAGGCACGAAAGCCAGGGGAGCAAACGGG
rnacentral:rRNA from 1 species